GACGAACGCUGGCGGCGUGCUUAACACAUGCAAGUCGAACGGAAAGGCCCUGCUUUUGUGGGGUGCUCGAGUGGCGAACGGGUGAGUAACACGUGAGUAACCUGCCCUUGACUUUGGGAUAACUUCAGGAAACUGGGGCUAAUACCGGAUAGGAGCUCCUGCUGCAUGGUGGGGGUUGGAAAGUUUCGGCGGUUGGGGAUGGACUCGCGGCUUAUCAGCUUGUUGGUGGGGUAGUGGCUUACCAAGGCUUUGACGGGUAGCCGGCCUGAGAGGGUGACCGGGCUCAUUGGGACUGAGAUACGGCGCAGACUCCUACGGGAGGCAGCAGUGGGGAAUAUUGCACAAUGGUCGGAAGCCUGAUGCAGCAACGCCGCGUGCGGGAUGACGGCCUUCUGGUUGUAAACCGCUUCCGCCUGUGACGAAGCGGGAGUGACGGUAAUGGGUGAAGAAGCACCGGCUAACUACGUG
rnacentral:rRNA from 1 species